AUGCUUUUCGUGCCAACAGAUCAAAUGAAAGCUCAAAACUCUGAGGUCAGCAGACCAACAGCGAGCUCUGAAGUGUGGCCUCGUCUUGCUGUCCCUGAGACAGCUGUGGGGCCGGGCUCAGGGCCAACAGCGCCCCCACGCUUUGCCGUGUGGGGACUCUCACCGGAAGCACAGUGCUGCUCGGGGGCCGCGGAGGCAGGUCCGGGGGGCCGGCCCCUCUUGCUUCCCCCGGCCCCUGCCUACGGUGCGCCUCGCCCCCCAUCACCGCCCUCCCGGAAACUCCCUGUGCUUGCUGUGGGAGCGCUCGUUCCCGGGAGUCCUGCCCGCCGUGUUCUGUCAGGCCCGGCCCCUCGUUCGCAUGGAGCUCUGCAGAGGCUGCUGGGGUCCGGGGAGGACAGGCGGCCCGGCUGGACCUCGGCUUCCCGGCCACUUGGGCCCUUUGUGGGGGGGGCUCCCUCGGCUCUGUCCAGGGUUGCCUUCUGUCUGUGGAGCCUUCCCGGAGAGAGAGUUCUGACCCAGAGAGCUAACAGGUGGCUGCUGUUUCAUGAAAAAGCUGGAGAUGGAGCCGGGGCGGGGGGGCGGGGAGGGGGGGUGGACCUGGGUAGGGGAGGGGUGGAUCCCCAGCACUGGCCGGGAGGGGCGGUCAUGGCAGCCACCCCCUCCCCUCGCAGCCCCGCAGUCCCCAAAGCGUCCCCUGGACACGGCACCCCGCCUUCUCCGGGUGGACGCCGAGUCCUGAUGCCCAUGCCCACGCCCCUAAGCUGCUGUGCGGCCUUGGCCAAGCCCCAGCCGCUCUCGGCCCUGGUUACUAGGCACACUGUUAUCUGGGAGAGCCGACUGAGGCGCCUGUGCCACCACGCACGGGGCGGGGCGGGGAGCGUGGCGAGCUGGGAGGCGCUAACCACAGGCGUCCGGUGUAGUCAUGGGCAGAAUCCGCCUUCUCGACCUCGGCGGGGUGCCAGGUCCCCCUGGAGCCGCCCUCCUGCGUGCUCCCCCCAGAAUUCCUUUCACAUUCGAGUACAGCGGUGGGGGCAUCAAGCCAAACUCGGAAUAGCAUGCGUUUUUAAACCAAUAGCACUGCUCAUUAUUCUUUAUUUUUAA
rnacentral:lncRNA from 1 species